CCCUUAGAUGUUCUGGGCCGCACGCGCGCUACACUGACGAAGUCAGCGAGCAUGUCCUACGCCGACAGGUGCGGGGAAUCUUGUCAAACUUCGUCGUGAUGGGGAUUGAUUAUUGAAAUUCUUGAUCAUCAACGAGGAAUUCCUAGUAAGCGCAAGUCAGCAGAUUGCGUUGAUUACGUCCCUGCCCUUUGUACACACCGCCCGUCGCUACUACCGAUUGAAUGGUUUAGUGAGAUCUUCGGAUUGGCGCCACUGCGGCUCAGCAAUGGGCUCGGUGGAUGCCGAAAAGUUGAUCAAACUUGAUCAUUUAGAGGAAGUAAAAGUCGUAACA
rnacentral:rRNA from 1 species